rnacentral:rRNA from 1 species
UAGAGAGUUUUGAUGUGGCUCAGGACGAACGCUGGCGGCGUGCUUAACACAUGCAAGUCGAACGAUGAAGCCCUUCGGGGUGGAUUAGUGGCGAACGGGUGAGUAACACGUGGGCAAUCUGCCCUUCACUCUGGGACAAGCCCUGGAAACGGGGUCUAAUACCGGAUAACACUCUGUCCCGCAUGGGACGGGGUUGAAAGCUCCGGCGGUGAAGGAUGAGCCCGCGGCCUAUCAGCUUGUUGGUGGGGUAAUGGCCUACCAAGGCGACGACGGGUAGCCGGCCUGAGAGGGCGACCGGCCACACUGGGACUGAGACACGGCCCAGACUCCUACGGGAGGCAGCAGUGGGGAAUAUUGCACAAUGGGCGAAAGCCUGAUGCAGCGACGCCGCGUGAGGGAUGACGGCCUUCGGGUUGUAAACCUCUUUCAGCAGGGAAGAAGCGAAAGUGACGGUACCUGCAGAAGAAGCGCCGGCUAACUACGUGCCAGCAGCCGCGGUAAUACGUAGGGCGCAAGCGUUGUCCGGAAUUAUUGGGCGUAAAGAGCUCGUAGGCGGCUUGUCACGUCGGAUGUGAAAGCCCGGGGCUUAACCCCGGGUCUGCAUUCGAUACGGGCUAGCUAGAGUGUGGUAGGGGAGAUCGGAAUUCCUGGUGUAGCGGUGAAAUGCGCAGAUAUCAGGAGGAACACCGGUGGCGAAGGCGGAUCUCUGGGCCAUUACUGACGCUGAGGAGCGAAAGCGUGGGGAGCGAACAGGAUAGAACAUAGACGCCAGUAGACA